GACGAACGCUGGCGGCGUGCCUAAUACAUGCAAGUUGAGCGCUGAAGGUUGGUACUUGUACCAACUGGAUGAGCAGCGAACGGGUGAGUAACGCGUGGGGAAUCUGCCUUUGAGCGGGGGACAACAUUUGGAAACGAAUGCUAAUACCGCAUAAAAACUUUAAACACAAGUUUCAAGUUUGAAAGAUGCAAUUGCAUCACUCAAAGAUGAUCCCGCGUUGUAUUAGCUAGUUGGUGAGGUAAAGGCUCACCAAGGCGAUGAUACAUAGCCGACCUGAGAGGGUGAUCGGCCACAUUGGGACUGAGACACGGCCCAAACUCCUACGGGAGGCAGCAGUAGGGAAUCUUCGGCAAUAGACGAAAGUCUGACCGAGCAACGCCGCGUGAGUGAAGAAGGGUUUCGGAUCGUAAAACUCUGUUGGUAGAGAAGAACGUUGGUGAGAGUGGAAAGCUCAUCAAGUGACGGUAACUACCCAGAAAGGGACGGCUAACUACGUG
rnacentral:rRNA from 1 species